UUAGGAAUCUUCCACAGUGGGCGAAAGCCUGAUGGAGCGACGCCGCGUGAGGGAUGAAGGCCUUAGGGUUGUAAACCUCUAAAAGAGGGACGAUAAUGACGGUACCUCUUGAAUAGCACCGGCUAACUCCGUGCCAGCAGCCGCGGUAAUACGGAGGGUGCAAGCGUUAUCCGGAAUCACUGGGCGUAAAGGGCGCGUAGGCGGUCUGUUAAGUCCGAUGUUAAAUCCCGGGGCUCAACCCCGGAUAAGCGUUGGAUACUGGCAGGCUAGACGGUUGGAGAGGCGAGUGGAAUUACCAGUGUAGCGGUGGAAUGCGUAGAUACUGGUAGGAACACCCAUUGCGAAGGCAGCUCGCUGGACAACACGUGACGCUGAGGCGCGAAAGUGUGGGGAGCAAACC
rnacentral:rRNA from 1 species